GUCAGGAAUUACUGCUUCCCGGGAGCAUGCCUCAACCAAUGAUGCACAGGAGAUGGUAUACAAAUGUUCCAACUCUCUCCCCUCAAGUGGAAUGAUUCUAAGGUAUGCAUGUUACACUAGUUCCUGGAAUUUACUCGUGAUCUUAAGUGGCAGUCACUCACUGUGAUAGCUGAUUUAAUAAUACCCCCUUUUUUGAUUUCCCUCCCUCACUUACUAUUUUCCUGCCGGUAUUCCCUGCACCUCCUUAAUAAACUACUUAUACUUGAAUCCGUAUGUCUGAGUCUGCUUUUCCAGAACCCAAACCAAGACCAAAAGGCCAUUCAUACCCCGCAUAAAUCCUGAAAAGGCUUCAAAUCAAUAUUGAAUAUGCAGUACGGACAGAAAUGGAAGAAUUUUCUGAGCUCUGUAGCAUCCUUUUGACUGAUCUCCAUAGCUCCAGCUUCUCCCUCCGCCCAGCCCUGCAUGAUGCCGUCAGGUCUGGGUAUGACUUAGCUGGGUCCUCUGCUUAGUGUCUCUCAAAGCUCC
rnacentral:lncRNA from 13 species